CGGUGUGUGGCUCAGUUUGGUAGAGCGCUGCGUUCGGGACGCAGAGGUCGCAGGUUCAAAUCCUGUCACACCGA
rnacentral:tRNA from 1 species